UGUCAGACGAGAUGUCAAACACCUGAUGUUGCAAAACUGUUUGGGGUCUGAUUAGAAGGGGUGGGGCACAUCAUUAGAUCAGAGGCAAACAGGACAAGACCCAGAGCAUGAUAGAUAAGGGGGCCACAGCUCUGAUGUCAUUACCAUAUGCAAAUGAACUGGUGGCCUUAAAGGAGACCUUUGCGAGCUGUCAUGAGUCUGUGAACAAUGUGGUGGUGUUGGAGAUGUGCUGGCUGUUGUAAGUAAACCAGAGCAGCGUGGUAAUAGAAAACAACCAAUGCCCUUAAUUAACACUUUUUUCUUCAAGAGAGAGUACAAUGCAGACAGACCAGACAUGGAGGUUUAUUCAUUUAGGCAAUGUCAUCAUGGGACAUUGUUCGUUAGUCUUGUACCCUGGACAGGAUAUCAUCAUAUACUGUAAGUUCGUUAUGGUGACACUACAGUAUAGAUGAUGUACUAUCCAGGGUCUCAUUCCCCCUCCGGAUACUAUCACCACACACACAAGCUGUUGACGGUUGGAAGCUAGACGGUGGCAAUCUAACCGUUACCAUUACUGAGUUUUAGCAAUGGUAAGGGUUCUAUUGACACCUCUCAAUGUCAUCUGGAGUUGCAUUAAAGGGUAACUUAAAACUGGUGGACUGGUCUCAUCUUCCUUGCAAGAAGUCGCAUUUGAUUACAACACCUUAGUGAUACCAAGAGCCAAAGUUGUGUUUAAGAGCUGAUUUUGAUAUUGUACGAUGUUUGUUGACUUGUGAAAUAAUGUUUAAAAAUAAAAACCAAAGAAUGACUA